UACAGAGGUGCCAAGCGUUAGGCGGAACCACUGGGCUUAAAGCGCGUGUAGGUGGACGGGUAAGUAUCUUGUGAAAUCCCACGGCUCAACCGUGGAACUGCUGGAUAUACUGCUUGUCUUGAGGCACUUAGGGGCAGCUGGAACAAAUGGUGGAGCGGUGAAAUGCGUAGAUAUCAUUUGGAACGCCAAAGGCGAAAGCAGGCUGCUGGGAGUGAUCUGACACUGAGACGCGAAAGCCAGGGGAGCAAACGGG
rnacentral:rRNA from 1 species